rnacentral:rRNA from 1 species
UGGGGAAUUUUGGACAAUGGGCGCAAGCCUGAUCCAGCAAUGCCGCGUGCAGGAUGAAGGCCUUCGGGUUGUAAACUGCUUUUGUACGGAGCGAAAAGGUCUGCCCUAAUACGGUGGGCUCAUGACGGUACCGUAAGAAUAAGCACCGGCUAACUUCGUGCCAGCAGCCGCGGUAAUACGAAGGGUGCAAGCGUUACUCGGAAUUACUGGGCGUAAAGCGUGCGUAGGUGGUUGUUUAAGUCUGCUGUGAAAGCCCUGGGCUCAACCUGGGAAUUGCAUUUGUGACUGCAUCGCUGGAGUGCGGCAGAGGGGGAUGGAAUUCCGCGUGUAGCAGUGAAAUGCGUAGAUAUGCGGAGGAACACCGAUGGCGAAGGCAAUCCCCUGGGCCUGCACUGACGCUCAUGCACGAAAGCGUGGGGAGCAAACA